rnacentral:rRNA from 1 species
CAAGCGUUGUUCGGAAUUACUGGGCGUAAAGGGCGCGUAGGCGGCCUGCUAAGUCGAACGUGAAAUCCCUGGGCUCAACCCAGGAACUGCGUCCGAUACUGGUUGGCUUGAAUCCGGGAGAGGGAUGUGGAAUUCCAGGUGUAGCGGUGAAAUGCGUAGAUAUCUGGAGGAACACCGGUGGCGAAGGCGACAUCCUGGACCGGUAUUGACGCUGAGGCGCGAAAGCCAGGGGAGCAAACGGG